UACUACAUCGUGUCCCUUCAUAUGCAUUGUGGGUUUUUUGAUUUGGUUAGUUAAUGUCAAUUUCUAUGCCUAUUCUUUCAUAGGCUGGAAGAAAAGAAGAGUGGAGAGGCAGAAAGUAAGCAGCUGCAAAUGAGAUCUAACAACGUUUGAUGAGUUUAUGCACUGGUUUCCAUUCCAUUCAUUCUUGAAAGUUUUAAUACCAAACUACUGCACAGAACAUGAAGGGUGAAAAGGCCUAUGAUAAGGUGACUUAGCCUUGAAGAUACUGUUUCUUGAUGAAGAAGUUGCUGAGAAUUCUUUCCCACGCAAGGUGGAACGCAUUGAUCGAUACAAUCCACAGAAUAGUAGAGAGGAAGCAUUUAACCGGACAGAUUUGUAUGGAAAGAGGCUAAAGGGGAGUACUAAAGCGGCUAACAAAAAGAUAGUACAGGUUUGCUUGAAUGCUUUGCCAGUAGCCACAAAUUAAAGGACCGUAAUAUCAAAGGCUCCUUUGAGUCCUUUCUUCCUCGUAGGCUGUUCGCUAUGUGGCCCAUUGGUGCGGUGAGAGAAUAUUGGAAUGCCAUUGAGAAGCACCCUUCCAGGGCUAUCGUCUGCA